GUGAGUCAUCGAAUCUUUGAACGCACAUUGCGCCCCCUGGCAUUCCGGGGGGCAUGCCUGUCCGAGCGUCAUUUCUGCCCUCAAGCACGGCUUGUGUGUUGGGUGUGGUCCCCCCGGGGACCUGCCCGAAAGGCAGCGGCGACGUCCGUCUGGUCCUCGAGCGUAUGGGGCUCUGUCACUCGCUCGGGAAGGACCUGCGGGGGUUGGUCACCACCAUAUUUACCACGGUUGACCUCGGAUCAGGUAGGAGUUACCCGCUGAACUUAAGCAUAUCAAUAAGCGGAGGA
rnacentral:misc_RNA from 1 species